UCCUCGAAGAGAUUCAAUCCGACACACCAGAAACUCAGGCUUGUUAAGGGGAUGAUGGGGCGGGAGAAAUCAAGAAAGAGAAGGCUCUCGAUGAUAAAUCUGUGCAUUUAUAACAGUGCCACUGAUGCUGAAGGGAGUUCAUUAACCUUAGUGAACUGGAUCAGGCCCUGAGUUUGAGAAGGAAGAAGAAUAUCU
rnacentral:lncRNA from 1 species